CGCGUCCCGCCGGCGACCGGCGCACGGGUGAGUAACACGUAUGCAACCUGCCCCUGUCAGGGGGCAACCCGCCGAAAGGCGGGCUAAACCCGCGUACAUGCCACCGGGGCAUCCCGGAGGCAGGAAAGGCUUCGGCCGGACAGGGAUGGGCAUGCGGCGCAUUAGGCAGUAGGCGGGGUAACGGCCCACCUAACCGACGAUGCGUAGGGGUUCUGAGAGGAAGGUCCCCCACACUGGUACUGAGACACGGACCAGACUCCUACGGAAGGCAGCAG
rnacentral:rRNA from 1 species